AUAUAUUAAUAGUUGUACGUAAGCCUUCACCCAAGAAAAGCGAUCCUGAUCUAGAUGUAACUCAGUACCAAUCACCAUCUUUCCAUCACAUCAAAGUCUUCAAAAAAGGUACUCCUUGGCUCUGUCACAUCAAUAAUUGAUGGCUUGAAGAAGCUAUACAUUGAAAAGCUGAAGCCCCUGGAAGUUACCUAUCGAUUUAAUGAUUUUGUUUCUCCUUUAUUGACAAGCAGUGAUUUCGAUGCUAGGCAAAUGGCUAUGCUCUUGGGCCAGUACUCCACUGGGAAAACAACAUUCAUUAAACAUUUGCUAAACUACAGUUAUCUAGGAGCGCACAUCGGACCAGAACCUACGACUGACAGAUUUGUUGUUGUUAUGGUAUGCACCCAAAUCCCAAAGCUAAUUAUAAAUUUUUGAAUUGCUUUGGCACCUUUAAAAAAAAGUUUGCUCUCGUGUUAGGCUGAUUCGGUGAUUCCAUUAUGGACGUCAGCACA